UACGUAGGGGGCAAGCGUUUGUCCGGAAUCAUUGGGCGUAAAGCGCGUGUAGGCGGCUCGAUAAGUCUGCUGUGAAAGUCCAGGGCUCAACCCUGGGAUGCCGGUGGAUACUGUCGAGCUCGAGUCCGGAAGAGGCGAGUGGAAUUCCUGGUGUAGCGGUGAAAUGCGCAGAUAUCAGGAGGAACACCAAUGGCGAAGGCAGCUCGCUGGGACGUGACUGACGCUGAGGCACGAAAGCGUGGGUAGCAAACAGG
rnacentral:rRNA from 1 species